AAAAGCCGCAGUAUACUAACUGUGCAAAGGUAGCAAAAUAAUUUGUCUUUUAAUUAAAGACUAGAAUGAAUGGUCUGACGAGGAAAAAUCUAUUUCAUAAUUUUAAAUAAAAUUAACAUAUAAGUAAAAAGGCUUAUAUACAUCAGCAAGACGACAAGACCCUAUAAAACUUUACCUUCUAAAUAAUAAACCUUAGUAAAUGUAUAUAAUUUAAGGGUUUAACUGGGGCGGUAUUUAUAUAACMUUUAACUAUACAAAAUUAACCAUAAAUUAAUGAAUAAAUAAAUCUUAAAUWAAACMUAACAAAAAGUUACUUUAGGGAUAACAGCAUAAUACUCUUAAAGAGUUCAAAUCGACAAGAGUGAUUAUGACCUCGAUGUUGAAUUGGGAAACCAUCUAAAAGC
rnacentral:rRNA from 1 species